CCAANGUAUGCUUUGGAAACUGUUAGACUUGAGUGCAGAAGGGGAGAGUGGAAUUCCAUGUGUAGCGGUGAAAUGCGUAGAUAUAUGGAGGAACACCGGUGGCGAAAGCGGCUCUCUGNUCUGUCACUGACGCUGAGGCUCGAAAGCGUGGGUAGCGAACAGGAUUAGAUACCCUGGUAGUNCACGCCGUAAACGCUGAGUGCUAGGUGUUAGGUCCUUUCCGGGACUUAGUGCCGACGCUAACGCAUUAAGCACUCCGCCUGGGGAGUACGACCGCAAGGUUGAAACUCAAAGGAAUUGACGGGGGCCCGCACAAGCGGUGGAGCAUGUGGUUUAAUUCGAAGCAACGCGAAGAACCUUACCAGGUCUUGACAUCCCGAUGCCCGCUCUAGAGAUAGAGUUUUUCUUCGGAACAUCGGAGACAGGUGGUGCAUGGUUGUCGUCAGCUCGUGUCGUGAGAUGUUGGGUUAAGUCCCGCAACGAGCGCAACCCUUAUUGUUAGUUGCCAUCAUUAAGUUGGGCACUCUAGCGAGACUGCCGGUAAUAAACCGGAGGAAGGUGGGGGUGACGUCAAAUCAUCAUGCCCCUUAUGACCUGGGCUACACACGUGCUACAAUGGUUGGUACAACGAGUCGCAAGCCGGUGACGGCAAGCUAAUCUCUGAAAGCCAAUCUCAGUUCGGAUUGUAGGCUGCAACUCGCCUACAUGAAGUCGGAAUCGCUAGUAAUCGCGGAUCAGCACGCCGCGGUGAAUACGUUCCCGGGCCUUGUACACACCGCCCGUCACACCACGAGAGUUUGUANCACCCAAAGUCGGUGAGGUAACCAUUUAUGGGGCCANCCGCCUAAGG
rnacentral:rRNA from 1 species